UACGUAGGGGGCAAGCGUUGUCCGGAAUCAUUGGGCGUAAAGCGCGCGUAGGCGGCCCGGUAAGUCCGCUCUGAAAGUCCAGGGCUCAACCCUGGAAAGCGGGUGGAUACUGCCGGGCUAGAAUCCGGAAGAGGCGAGUGGAAUUCCUGGUGUAGCGGUGGAAUGCGCAGAUAUCAGGAGGAACACCAAUAGCGAAGGCAGCGCGCUGGGACGGUAUUGACGCUGAGACGCGAAAGCGUGGGGAGCGAACAGG
rnacentral:rRNA from 1 species